UUGAAUGUAACCAUUUUGAUAUUCUUCUGUUGUAAUCCUCAUUUACAGACAACUACAAAGCUGCCAUUAUUAAUUUUCUGUGCCUCCCCAUUGCCAACAUAUUGGUUGUGGUGUUUAUGGUGAUCUAUGAGAACUACAUGAAGAAGCGCAGAGAGUCCAGAAGUGGUGUGAAUGACGACAUGAUGCUUGAAUCAACAGCAAUCUACAUGAAUACACGACCUCCUGGACGGCGUCAUAAAGCAGCUCACUGAUGAAGGAAGGCCUGAUGGAGCUUCACAUCAAAUCACCAUUUACUCUUUAUGAUAAGUUUUCAAGUUAUUCAGCUUGCAGUAGAUAUUUUAUCACAUUUUAGAGGCUAUUUUUAAAUUUGUAUUAUUGUAAUUAGCCAAGAGCUCCAAUAUU